CAAGACCAACGGAAUUGAGUUAGCGAAAACUUCUUAGCUCUGAUGCGGAAAGAGCAUGUAAACAUUUUGGAAAGGUGAUUCAUUUGUGUUCAAAUAGGUGUUUUAACGCAAUGCAUAGCAACUGCGUGACCUAAAUAAUACACCUGUGAAAAUUUACUGUCAAGAUAUUACAGGUUUUUGAGACUUCUCAAGGAUACUGUGUCUUGGACCUUGGACUCUGGUAACUUGCCAUCACUAGAGAUGAGCCAAUCUUCAGAAAGAAGAAGACAGACCUCAGUUUGGCGGGAGCACUAUGGAGACUGCUUAUGAUCCAUCCCCAGAGAAACCUGUACUGUGCGCCUCAGUCAGCUCCAAAACCUCCAGGUUCUCAUCCUUUUCCAGAAUUGAAGACAACACAGCCGGCAGCUCAUUCUGAUGUAACAGCUUUACUCUUACUUGAAGGUCAGUAACUCUGUUUUGUGGCCUGAAGCUUGUAGUCAUUUCUUUCCUGACUGUCUUAGCUGGGACUCCUCCUGCAGGACUACGAAA